rnacentral:rRNA from 1 species
GGCUCAGGAUGAACGCUAGCGGCAGGCUUAAUACAUGCAAGUCGUGGGGCAGCAUGAGUAGCAAUACUUGAUGGCGACCGGCAAACGGGUGAGGAACACGUACACAACCUUCCUUCAAGCGGGGAAUAGCCCAGAGAAAUUUGGAUUAAUACCCCAUAAUAUAUUUGAUAAGGCAUCUUAUUAAUAUUAAAGCUUCGGCACUUGAUGAUGGGUGUGCGGCUGAUUAGAUAGUUGGCGGGGUAACGGCCCACCAAGUCUACGAUCAGUAGCUGAUGUGAGAGCAUGAUCAGCCACACGGGCACUGAGACACGGGCCCGACUCCUACGGGAGGCAGCAGUAAGGAAUAUUGGACAAUGGACGAAAGUCUGAUCCAGCCAUGCCGCGUGAAGGAUUAAGGUCCUCUGGAUUGUAAACUUCCUUUAUAUGGGACGAAAAAGGGCAUUCUUGUUCACUUGACGGUACCAUAUGAAUAAGCACCGGCUAACUCCGUG